rnacentral:lncRNA from 1 species
GCGAAAUUAUGGAGCAAACAAAGAUGAUGGCUCCCUCAAAAAAUUUUGAUAAUAUUAUAGUAUCAAACUAAAUCCUUUUAAUGGAAAACUGGACUCCUUUUCUACUUUGAUUCACUAUUUUCAUCCUUGGUUUCGUCCUUAAGCACAACCUCCAUAAUAUAUAUAGAUAAGGUUAUAAGACAAAAAUGAAAAUGCUAGCCCGAUUCAAAACAUGAAAAAUUACAUGCAUAAAAAAGAGAAAAAAAAGAGUUAAAUUAAAAAAAUUUCACAUAUUAUAUAUUUUUUAUUUGUUUGAUACUUACAAAAAUAAAAUGCCUAAUUAAAUAUCUGAACUUUUAUUUUUACACUUUGUUCCCGGAUUAACGCAGUUAAUAAAAUUACUAAUGUUGCAUAAAUACUUAAUAAAAUCAUGACACUUAGUAAAAAAAUCCAACUAUCACUAGAUUUUCAUUCUCACGGCAAUAUUAGAAGAAAAUUUUU